GAAAAUUACAAGCAUAAGCUCAAAACUCAAAGGACUUGGCGGCGCUUUAGACCCACCUAGAGGAGCCUGUCCUAUAACCGAUAACCCCCGUUAAACCUUACCUUCUUUUGCCUUCAGUCUAUAUACCGCCGUCGUCAGCUUACCCUUUGAGGGUCCUAUUAGUAAGCAAAAUCGGUUUAACCCCAGACGUCAGGUCGAGGUGUAGCAUAUAAGAAGAGAAGAGAUGGGCUACAUUUCCUGUACAGGGUCCACGGACAAUGCUUUGAAACAAGCAUAUUGAAGUAGGAUUUAGCAGUAAGUAAAAAACAGAGUGUUUUGCUGAAACCGGCCCUUAAGCGCGCACACACCGCCCGUCGCUCUCCCCUAAUCUUCAUCUUUAUAUUACCUAAGCCCUAAUUCUAGCAAAGGGGGGACAAGUCGUAACAUGGUAAGUGUACUGGAAAGUGCCCUUGGAUAAAC
rnacentral:rRNA from 1 species